GAGGAGGCUCUUCUGAGGCUUCUGCCAGUGGUCAAAGCCUCCAACAAAGCUCUACUCAGUCAUUGUAACCUCUCAGAGAGAAGCUGUGAAGCUCUGUCCUCAGUUCUCAGCUCUCAAGCCUCCUGUCUGAGGGUGCUGGACCUGAAUAAUAACAACCUGCAAGAUUCAGGAGUGACGCUUCUGUCUACUGGGGUGAACAGUCCAUACUGCAAACUGGAAAUUCUGCGGCUGAAUGUCUGUAACCUGUCAGAGAGAAGCUGUGAAACACUGUCCUCAGUUCUCAGCUCCGAGUCCUGUAGUCUGAGAGAGUUGGACCUGAGUAACAACAACAUAAAGGAGUCAGGACUGCAGCUUCUUUCUGCUGCAGUGGAGAGUCCAUACUGUACACUGGAAAUUCUCAGGGUGCCCAAGAAAGUCCAGCAGGUGCCAGGACCAUAUCCUAAAAGAUGAGUUAGCUGCAGGAUCAGGGUUCUACCAGUGCAACGCUUGCUCUGGAAUGGCAGGGGGCAGGUGUGAGUGCAUCUGGAUGCAC